GGGGGCGAAACGGCUUCGACGGGGAUAAAGAAGUUCGGGUUGCAUACCAAGCGCUUACCUGCUUGUAAAAAAGGUGGGAACUAAACAUAAUCGCAGAUGAUUAUAAUUACGCUUUAGCCGCUUAGGGCUAACGUCCUGCCGGACCAUUCCUGCUAAUCCGGUAAGGGCGUCGACUAGCAGGAUAGCCGAUCCACGGAACGGCGAAAAAUCUUACAGGAUAGCCUUUCAAGCAUCCAGCCUGGAGGAGACUUGAAAAGGCGAAAACUAGAGUUCAGGAUAUGUAUGUAGAAGCCUGUGCGGAAUGUUUUCGGACGCGGGUUCGACUCCCGCCGCCUCCACCA
rnacentral:tmRNA from 1 species